UACGUAGGGUGCGAGCGUUGUCCGGAAUUAUUGGGCGUAAAGGGCUCGUAGGCGGUUUGUCGCGUCGGGAGUGAAAUCCACUGGCUUAACUGGUGGCUUGCUUUCGAUACGGGCAGACUGGAGGUAUGCAGGGGAGAACGGAAUUCCUGGUGUAGCGGUGAAAUGCGCAGAUAUCGGGAGGAACACCGGUGGCGAAGGCGGUUCUCUGGGCCUGUUCUGACGCUGAGGAGCGAAAGCGUGGGGAGCGAACAGG
rnacentral:rRNA from 1 species